UUUAAUGGAGAGUUUGAUCCUGGCUCAGGACGAACGCUGGCGGCGUGCCUAAUACAUGCAAGUCGAGCGAGGGUUUU
rnacentral:rRNA from 1 species